rnacentral:rRNA from 1 species
AGCAGCCGCAGUAAUUCCAGCUCCAAUAGCGUAUAUUAAAGUUGCUGCAGUUAAAAAGCUCGUAGUUGAAUUUCGGGACCAAUAUGUCGGUCGUGCUUCGGUACGUACUGGCAUCGUUGGUUUCUCCCUUCUGAUGAACCAUGAUGUCAUUCAUUUGGUGUCGUGGGGAAUCAGGACUGUUACUUUGAAAAAUUAGAGUGUUUAAAGCAGGCUCACGCUUGAAUACAUUAGCAUGGAAUAAUGAAAUAGGACGUUUGAUUCUAUUUUGUUGGUUUCUAGGAUCAACGUAAUGAUUAAUAGGGAUAGUUGGGGCAUUAGUAUUCAAUUGUCAGAGGUGAAAUUC